UGCAGUCAAGGGGGCCCGCAAGGGCAACCGGCGAACGGGUGCGUAACACGUGAGCAAGCUUCCGAUUUGUGGGGGAUAGCCGGCCCAACGGCCGGGUAAUACCGCAUACGUUCACCGAGCGGCAUCGCUUGGUGAGGAAACCUCCGGGGCAAAUCGAGGUGCUCGCGGCCUAUCAGCUAGUUGGUGAGGUAACGGCUCACCAAGGCGACGACGGGUAGCUGGUCUGAGAGGAUGGCCAGCCACAUUGGGACUGCGACACGGCCCAGACUCCUACGGGAGGCAGCAGUGGGGAAUAUUGCGCAAUGGACGAAAGUCUGACGCAGCGACGCCGCGUGUGGGAUGAAGCCUUUCGGGGCGUAAACCACUGUUGCCCGGGACGAACCUCCCCAUUCGUGGGGACUGACGGUACCGGGUGAGGAAGCACCGGCUAACUCUGUGCCAGCAGCCGCGGUAAUACAGAGGGUGCGAGCGUUGUCCGGAAUCACUGGGCGUAAAGGGCGCGUAGGUGGCUUGGUAAGCGUGUGGUGAAAGUCCGGGGCUCAACCCCGGAUCUGCCGUGCGAACUGCCGAGCUUGAGCGAUGUAGAGGCAGGUGGAAUUUCGGGUGUAGCGGUGGAAUGCGUAGAGAUCCGAAAGAACACCAGUGGCGAAGGCGGCCUGCUGGGCAUUUGCUGACACUGA
rnacentral:rRNA from 1 species